rnacentral:rRNA from 1 species
GACGAACGCUGGCGGCGUGCUUAACACAUGCAAGUCGAACGGAAAGGCCCUGCUUUUGUGGGGUGCUCGAGUGGCGAACGGGUGAGUAACACGUGAGUAACCUGCCCUUGACUUUGGGAUAACUUCAGGAAACUGGGGCUAAUACCGGAUAGGCGCUCCUGCUGCAUGGUGGGGGUUGGAAAGUUUCGGCGGUUGGGGAUGGACUCGCGGCUUAUCAGCUUGUUGGUGGGGUAGUGGCUUACCACGGCUUUGACGGGUAGCCGGCCUGAGAGGGUGACCGGCCACAUUGGGACUGAGAUACGGCCCAGACUCCUACGGGACGCAGCAGUGGAGAAUAUUGCACAAUGGGCGGAAGCCUGAUGCAGCAACGCCGCGUGCGGGAUGACGGCCUUCGGGUUGUAAACCGCUUUCGCCUGUGACGAAGCGUGAGUGACGGUAAUGGGUAAAGAAGCACCGGCUAACUACGUG